GAAACUAGUAAAGUGGCGCACGGGUGAGUAACGCGUGGGUAAUCUACCUCCGAAUUGGGGAUAACAUUGCGAAAGCGAUGCUAAUACCGGAUAAUAUCUCAAUAACUCCGGUCUUUGAGAUCAAAGGUGGCCUCUCCAUGGAAGCUACUGUUUGGAGAUGAGCCCGCGUACCAUUAGCUUGUUGGUAGGGUAAUGGCCUACCAAGGCGACGAUGGUUAGCUGGUCUGAGAGGAUGAUCAGCCACACUGGAACUGUGGACACGGUCCAGACUCCUACGGGAGGCAGCAGUGAGGAAUUUUGCGCAAUGGGGGAAACCCUGACGCAGCAACGCCGCGUGAGUGAUGAAGGCUUUCGGGUCGUAAAGCUCUGUCAAGUGAGAAGAACCUGUCCUUUGCUAAUAUCACUGGACACUGACGGUAUCACUGAAGGAAGCACCGGCUAACUCCGUGCCAGCAGCCGCGGUAAUACGGAGGGUGCAAGCGUUAUUCGGAAUCACUGGGCGUAAAGAGCGCGUAGGCGGUUUCUAAAGUCAGAUGUGAAAG
rnacentral:rRNA from 1 species